CGGCCUAUUCAGUUCACCCUCAGAACCUGAGUGCAAAUGUUUAUCUUACAACUCUCCUCCAAUAAAGAAAAUUGGCAGUCUAAUCCUUCAAUCUUCUCCCACAAUUAUUAUAUCAUGUCUUGAAAAUAGCCUUCAAAAGACAUAAUCUUAUGAUGGAUGACCAUCCGCCACCCAUUAGGGUAUUGCAAAUUUCUUAGUUAUUCCAGCCAUCUAGCUCUGUUUCUUAAUGCUUCAAUACCACAUUUGUGGUGCAGAAAGGCUAAG
rnacentral:misc_RNA from 1 species